UACACCCAGGUAAACAGUGCAUAGCAGAAUAUUGCAGAAAAACUAAUUGCGUGACAAACAGGGCUUUCAAAAUGGCUGCAAUAUAAAUAAUACUGCUUGGAGACGAACAAUACUUUCACCGUUUUAAUACCUUAAAUCACUGUCCAAAGUUUUGGGGAAUAUUAAACGAAGGGCUGUAAUGUUACUGUACUUAGGAGAGAUUUGAUUGAACGGGAAGAAUAGACACACUCCCUCAAAAGCUCAAGUAUCAGAAGUCAAUCCAGCAAUGGCCAGAGAGGGAUUUCUCGGGCCAUUGCUUCAGGAAUAUGGCCAAGGCUAUAAUUAAAUCAUAGAUCUUCAGCCUACCAGCUAACUCUGUUGGUGUUUUGACGAAUAUGUUGGCUGCAACAAGUUCUACCAGGCACGGCAUGACGAUUGGUUGAUUUUUACAAACAUCUGGAACAUCAACGUAUACUAAAAACAGAUCCAAGGAAGUAUAAGAAGUUGAAUCGAAAAUAUAAUAUUCAUCUGGAUGACACAACAUAACUUUUUUCCGAUUUGCAUAAAAUGUGCUUAGAAAGUCAUAUGAAAGAUAAACAGAACCACUUGAUAUAAGAAUUUGGCAUAAAUAUUUGUCUGGUACAUUCCAUAACCAUGUACGAAUGAAUGUUACUGGUACUUUUGUAUCCCAUGAAUAUCCUGUAAUUAAAAUAUAAAAAUA